GGCGGCAUGCCUUACACAUGCAAGUCGAGCGGCAGCGCGGGGGCAACCCUGGCGGCGAGCGGCGAACGGGUGAGUAAUACAUCGGAACGUGUCCUUUCGUGGGGGAUAACCAGUCGAAAGACUGGCUAAUACCGCAUGAGAUCUCACGAUGAAAGCGAGGGACCGCAAGGCCUCGCGCGAUUGGAGCGGCCGAUGUCGGAUUAGCUAGUUGGCGGGGUAAAAGCCCACCAAGGCGACGAUCCGUAGCUGGUUUGAGAGAGCGACCAGCCACACUGGGACUGAGACACGGCCCAGACUCCUACGGGAGGCAGCAGUGGGGAAUUUUGGACAAUGGGCGCAAGCCUGAUCCAGCCAUGCCGCGUGUGUGAAGAGGGCCUUCGGGUUGUAAAGCACUUUCGGCCGGAACGAAAUCGCGCGGGUUAAUAGUCCGCGUGGAUGACGGUACCGGAAGAAGAAGCACCGGCUAACUACGUGCCAGCAGUCGCGGUAAUACGUAGGGUGCGAGCGUUAAUCGGAAUUACUGGGCGUAAAGGGUGCGCANGCGGCGUCGCAAGUCAGGCGUGAAAUCCCCGGGCUU
rnacentral:rRNA from 1 species